UACGAAGGGGGGCGAGCGUUGUUCGGAUUUACUGGGCGUAAAGGGCGCGCAGGCGGUCAUUUUUUUGUCGAGUGUGAAAGCCCCGGGCUUAACCUGGGAACUGCGCUCGAAACGGGAUGACUAGAGAUCGGGAGAGGAGAGUGGAAUUCCCAGUGUAGAGGUGAAAUUCGUAGAUAUUGGGAAGAACACCGGUGGCGAAGGCGGCUCUCUGGACCGAUACUGACGCUGAGGCGCGAAAAGCUAGGGGAGCAAACAGG
rnacentral:rRNA from 1 species